CGCCCUUUAGUUCAAUAGAUAGAACACUCACAGAUGUAAUAUCAUGCGAGAGGUUGGUGGUUCAAAUCCACCAAGGGCCA
rnacentral:tRNA from 1 species